rnacentral:rRNA from 1 species
UACGAAGGGGGCUAGCGUUGUUCGGAAUUACUGGGCGUAAAGCGCACGUAGGCGGACAUUUAAGUCAGGGGUGAAAUCCCAGAGCUCAACUCUGGAACUGCCUUUGAUACUGGGUAUCUCGAGUAUGGAAGAGGUGAGUGGAAUUCCGAGUGUAGAGGUGAAAUUCGUAGAUAUUCGGAGGAACACCAGUGGCGAAGGCGGCUCACUGGUCCAUUACUGACGCUGAGGUGCGAAAGCGUGGGGAGCAAACAGG